CCAAGAUUCAAACCUUCAACCUUCCGGUUGGGAGAUCACUGCUCUGCCCACUGCACCACUGUCACCCCCUAAUUAGCUCUUCUGUCAUGGUUAUUCCUAUCUCCACCUACAACUGCAAGUCUUUGUGUUUUGAUAACAGACUUUACUUCUUUUCCUGAAUUAAACUCUUUACAGUACAAGGGAGCUUGGCUUGGCAGAGAUAUCCCUCUAGGCUGUUUCUGGAAGAAUCAUUGCAAAUACACAUGUCCAUGGCUGAAGGGGUUUCCAUUUUUUCUUUCCAACUGGAGCUCUCUACUGUAAUUUCAGUAAGAUACUGAAAUCACACUUUCUGACAGGUGCUUAAUAGGGAGACAGUGAUGACAGUCCUAGGAAACACCUGCUCAGAAGUGAUGGUCAUAUGUCAAGAAACCAAAAAGAGAAUUCUCUAAUGGUUUCUGGCAUCUAGAAAUGUGCACAAAUUCCACUUGCUCUGAACAUGAAUCAACUUGUUUCCAGAAGAAGUUCUGUUCUCGAUACAGUGGCAUUUAGGAGGAGAGGAAUUAUCGCAUCUCACUGACCGAGUUAGUAAAAUUAGUGUCCUAGAAAAAUUCAGGUUUCAUGAACAUUGAUGUUAAGUUGUUCAGUUACUGCAGUGCACAGCAGUUACAGUCUCACUACUACACCUGACUUGUGGUUUUAAGUCUGGAUGAUUGUCAGUGUGUGUUGCUGUGGAAAUCGGAUGUGAUUUACCGCCUCAUCUCUCCUCCCUUCUCUCAGAGCGGUUAAGUGACAGGUCAGGACAUGCUGGGAAACCAUAUCCUCUGCCUCUUUGAUCUGCUAAUGGAGACAAACAGGACCACGGAUGGAUGGCUACCGUAACGACAGGCUGCCACAACUGCCUCUGCACUGACCAGGUGAAUUUGGAGGUGUCCGGGUCACAGAGGAGGCAAGGGCUGCUGGGAUUGGAGUCUCCUUCUGCAAAACACAUCCCUUCGAUGUUACAUGUCUGCUCCUGGCCAACAGAAACAGAGUCGACCAGGAAAAGAAACUUGAGAGUCCAGGUUGUCUUUACAAGCGACCUGUUGCAGUCAUGUGAAUAAAAAAGCAUUACCUUUAACUUACAGAGUCCUGAGCGUGACGCCUCGCAGACCUGGCAAACCCCAUCAUAGAUUGUCAGCACCUUGGGCUGGCUGUACUGGGAGCCAUCAUUGGUCACCUGGGACAGGAAAGGUAUGGCAGUAGCGCAUCCUCCCAGCCCAGGUCAUCUUUGAGCUGCAGGUCCAGGAUGCAGAGAUCCACUGCCUCGUCCAGGCGGCG